rnacentral:lncRNA from 1 species
AUUUUAUAAUUCUAAAUUCAUAUAUUUAUAGUAGAUAAUAUAUAAUAUGUAUAUUUUGCAUUUUUGUUAGCAUCUUGUGAAUAAUUACUCCAAUAUUCAGAGAAAGAUUUGAGGAUAAUAAACUAAAUGUAACCUUUUAAAUGAAUCCUAAACAUUUGGCAACCUAGUUCUCAUUGAUAUAAUUAAAUAUUUUAAUCCAAUCCAAAAGUUGUAGAAUUCAAACAGAGUACAUGGAUCUUAAAAGUAAUAAAUAGUUAAGAAAUUCAUGAGGAAUCAUCUUUCAUAAAAAUGUAUUGGUAUUUCUUAAUUAUUUGAAGUUAACAUCUUUUGUUGCUUUUUUUUUUUUUAAACUUUUAUUUAAUGCAUAUAAAUUUCCAAAGUACGACUCAUGGGUUACAAUGGCUUCCCCCCAAUACCGUCCCUCCCACCCACAACCCUCCCCUUUCCCACUCCCUCUCCCCUUUUUAAUCAGUAACUGUGGUGGAACAGAUGUUUUGCCUAGCAGUUCAAACAGUGAGUAAGGGAACAGUGUCCCAUACCACAGUGCCUGGAUUCUUCAUCUGCUUCCAUCUCUUGACUCCAGAUUUCGGAUUUACUGCAGGCCCUGGGAAGAAGAUACGAUGGCUUAAAUCAUCACCUUCAUCUCCCAGCAUUUCCCUUUUGAUGACCAAAAUGGAAUUUAUAUAUGAUGAAAACACCGUGAGUAAUCAAGGUUAACAUUUACUACUCUUUUCUUCUCUUGUCUGAUAUCCCAAGGACAUAAUUGGCCUCACAGUCAUCCAUGGCCAUGGGUAACCACCCAGAGUCUAAGGCAAAAUUUCUUGAUAAAUCCUGUGAUAAUAUUAGAAUUAGGGCUCAUGCUUUCCCAACUAUGAAUGUUGAUGUAGCAGUUCCCCCCAUGAAAUACAGUGGAAAUUGACUGGUAUGGACUCUAGCCCCAAAUAGCCUCUCUAUCAACUGCAGCAGAUGAGGCCCCUUGACAGCAAAGCUGAACUGGCUAUAAUGGAUAGGAAUUAAGGUUCUGGGACAUGUUUCUCCAUGCACAUUUUAAGAGCCUUCUGGUUCAAGGACAGAGAACAUGUUCCUUGAGUCUAGCUUCAGGCCUUGUUUUGUCUAUGUAUGAUACACUGCCCUAGAAUAAAUUAGCAUCUGCUACUGCUUCUGUCA